CUGACACCUCAUUUGGAUGUGAGUUGGUGAAAGGAGGCAGCGAGAGUCCUGCUGAGCAUUAGGGGAGGAUGCUUGGGCCUGGGAUUUGGGAGCAAUCCUGUGACGGAGGUCCCUGCGGUUGCCCUUCUUAACGGCGAGGCUAUCACGGGAGAACAAGAAGUUACAUACACUUCCAAGCGAGACAAACCUGCCAAUUGGCAGAAGCCAGAACCAAUUAACGGCAAGGAAAACAAGUUCUCCAAGAUCUUUCUAGACCGGGGACACGUUUAAAACAUCCUCCUCAUCAGACUCCACACCAGAUCUGCUGAACUGGAAGCCUUGGUGGCUGGGCCCAGGCCUGGGGAUUUUAAAAUUCUCAAAGUGCUGGCACUGUGCAGCCACGAUUGUGACCUUUGCCCUCCAAGCUCAGGGUGUGGUUUCACUAUCCUGUGCACAAAGAGGUGUGAAAACCCAAAGAGCCAAAUUUUCACCACAUCACAUAUAUGAGAUGGAUUUUUCCACUUUCUGCAUAAAUGUUGCAUUGAAAGAACAGAAUCUGCUCAUGGUUUAUCAUCACCUCAACACAGUCUAAUAACAGGCUGUGGAGAAAAAUAUUCAUCUGGGUAAAAGUGACAGCACCAGGGGCUGGAGUCCAUGGCUCAAGUGUAUGGUGGAGCGACCGGGCUGUUCUGCUGUUGCCUCAGUAAAGCAAUCUUUCUCUUGCUGGGUUGAAAAAUAAAUUUUCUGUUUUCCACGUCCA
rnacentral:lncRNA from 1 species